UUUGAAGAAAAAUGUUAUAAUUUAAUUUAUUCAUUACUUAUAGGUAAGUUUUACCUUGUGGAUGCUAGGUUCAUGUUACGGGGUGGACUAAUUACAUCAUAUAGAGGAGAAUCAUUUGACUGAAUAUUCUAUGAAUCCACCAUGCAAUGCUCGUGAGCUAUUUAAUCUAUGACAUGUUUCUUUGUGUAAUGCGAUUGAACGU
rnacentral:lncRNA from 1 species